UUUAAGGAUUAUGUAUAUGUAUACUUAUAUUUAUAUUUUUUCCUUGCAUGCCAUCUAUGUUCUGUACGUAAGUUUGCAAUGCAUACACGGAGUUGAAUGAUCCUGUGGUACAACGCCAACGGUUUGCUGACCAACUCAAGGACCGACAAUCAGGUGAUGAUGAAGCAAUGGCUUUGGAUGAAACAUUUUGCACGGCUCUCGAGUAUGGUUUGCCCCCAACGGUGGUUGGGGACUGGGUAUUGACCGACUAACAAUGAUGAUGACAGAUUCGUAGAACAUCAAGGAAGUUCUACUCUUUCCGGCCAUGAAACCUCAGGAUGAACCUUCUGCUAAAGAACACAUCCAAACAGCUUCUGGCUUGGGUCCAGUAUAGGUUUUCAAUCUGCCAAUAUGCAUGCAAAUCUGCCUACAGAAGUUCUCUAGAUUAGUGGGAUGGAGCAAACCAGCUUCUUAUUUCAGCAAGAUUCAUAGCUUGUCCCUGGUGGUUCUCCUGAUCCAGAAUGUGUGGUGGUAUGCAAGAUUGCUUUUGUUAGCGCCGUCAGAUUGGCAGAUCUAAAGAAGAAUGCUGAUGGACAAGAAAGUCUGGUGUUUGCUACUUUAACUGGUGACCUGGUAG